CUCCUGCCGGGGCCGGCUUUUUCUUUGUGAAAAAGAAGAGUGGUGAGUUGAGACCCUGUAUCGACUAUAGGGGUCUCAAUCGCAUUACUAUUAAGAAUGCCUACCCCAUUCCGUUGAUCACAGAGUUAUUUGACCGCCUCCAGGGAGCAACGGUCUUCACUAAACUUGAUCUGAGAGGGGCAUAUAAUCUCGUCCGGAUAAAAGAGGGCCACGAAUGGAAAACCGCAUUUAACACCAGGAGCGGGC